AUACGUAGGGGGCAAGCGUUAUCCGGAUUUACUGGGUGUAAAGGGAGCGUAGACGGAAGGCCAAGUCUGAUGUGAAAGCCCGCGGCUCAACUGCGGGACUGCAUUGGAAACUGGUCAUCUGGAGUGCAGGAGGGGUAAGCGGAAUUCCUAGUGUAGCGGUGAAAUGCGUAGAGAUCGGGAGGAACACCAGCGGCGAAGGCGGGUAACUGGACUGCAACUGACGCUGAGGCGCGAAAGUGUGGGGAGCAAACAGGAUUAGAUACCCUGGUAGUCCACACUGUAAACGAUGAAUGCUAGGUGUGGGGGGACUGACCCCCUCCGUGCCGCAGUUAACACAGUAAGUAUUCCACCUGGGGAGUACGAUCGCAAGAUUGAAACUCAAAUGAAUUGACGGGG
rnacentral:rRNA from 1 species